AAUAUCAAAGGUGAGCCAGUACAGGAUGGACCCGCGACUGAUUAGCUAGUUGGUACGGUAACGGAUUACGAAGGCGACGCGCAGUAGCCGACCUGAGAGGGUGAUCUGCCUCAUUGGAACUGAGGCACGGUCAACACUCCUACGGGAGGCAGCAGUGGGGAAUAUUGCACAAUGGGCGAAAGCCUGAUGCAGCAACGCCGCGUGAGUG
rnacentral:rRNA from 1 species